GAAAAACUAGAUGUCACUGUUGUGCUACUAUUAUUACUUGUAUUAACUAGUUAAUGCAGUGUUCGUUUUCUUCUUAAAUGUGUUAGAUUUGAAAUGAUUGUUUAUGUUAAAUUUAUGGGUUUCCCUUGUGAUCAGCCAUGACAACUGCUGAAUACGAAAAUAUGGCCAGAUCCUUUGUUUAAAUUGAGGAAUUUUUAAUACUAAAUGCUGGAGCCAAAGCAUGAAGGUCAACCAUUCAACACUGACACAAAUGUUGUAAUGUAAACUUCAAUGCCAUCUCCUGAUUCUUGGUCUUUAUCUACUGGGAUUUACCUUACAUUUACCAUCACCCGUUUUAUUUAUAUUCAUCUCCCUUCCUAGCUAGCCAACAAGAAAUCAUUUCAGACUGCUUGCUUCAUUGUGGACCAUGAAAUUUACUGUAAUUAGACCACACUUCAUGCCAAAACUUGCAAAGACUCCAUCCUAUUUGUGUUACCACCUUGACCGUCGCCGUUCCAUUCGUCUCGUUUUUGGUUUUGUGACUUAGCCAACCAAGAUUCACACAUUUAAGUCAUCGCUUUAUUAUGGUAUUCUGCAUUGUUCUGCUAUGUUGUAUUACGCUUACAUGAUAUUAUUGUCCGUCCUAAAAUUUGUAAGUGUGUUUGUCUUCAGACUGCUGCCAAAUUGCCGCCACAUAAAGUUCAUAUACACCUCAACGACGAAAACGAGAGAAUUCCGAAAAAUUUGAGUUAAAAGAGGAAUUCAUGGAGCUUGUCGUAGAUUUCAACAUGGAACGUCGUACGUCUCAACGUGGAAUGCCGUAAACCUCAACGUGGAGCGCCGUAGACCUCAACGUGGAACGUCGCCCUAAAUUUUGUGGUAUUGUUAUUUUUGUGUUUUUUGUGUGUUUGUGUCAUCACAAACUACAAUUAGAAAGGCUGGGAAGGAUUCCCUUAGGAUCGCCAUGGCCUUUCUAACGGUAGUAUGUGGUACUAGUUAACCCGUUGGCUGCCACCAUUUUUCUCUCCCCUUUUUUUUUUAGCUUGUUAGGGACGGGCCGCGCUGCUCUGCCUCGUGGUCUAUGUGCCAUGGGGUGGGGCAGUCGCCACUGCCCAAAAUUCGCCGUUUAGGCGUAUUAGGCAAUGCACCACAGGGACUUCCCCUUUUCGACGUGGUGAUGGAACCUGGGGUGUGCAUUCCCAUAAUGGUUUCCAUCACUAUGUCAGCCCGGACUUGUUUUCUGACAAGUCCCACCAGAUCGUGAUCCUUCAGAUAACGAUGCGUAGCUAAUGUAGUAAAACAGCCUAUGGGUUGUAUGGCUUGGCAGCCAACGGGUUAACUAUAUGUGUAUGUUAUGCAUGUUUGUUUUUUUUGUACGUUUUGUAUGUAUGUGUGAAAUGUCAUAAAUGUGGUGGAAAUGUGGGUGGAUGGAGGGAAAAUAAAUUCACUUGUAUUAAUAUAAA